rnacentral:lncRNA from 1 species
CAAGAAGUAGCUCAUUCAAAUUAUUUCUCUUAUCAAUAAACAACUCUAUAACUUAGUGCUUAAGAUUUAACUUAUAGAUAGUAUUAAUAACAAAGAGCCCUAAUUCUUACCAAUAAAUGCACACUAGCGGAGUUUAUUUAGAUUAGAUUGCAUGCCCACACAACAUAAAUUGCAUACUUUGACAUACACAACCAUGCUAUUCGUCACUAGUAUUAGAAUCGAUAAAACAUUUAUGGAUUUAACUAUUUUAAUUAACAAAGCAAGUAAUCUAAGCAAUUAACAGGGCACAACGUUGGGGCUUAAGGCAGGGUGAUAGAGCACAUGUGUUCGCAUGCUAAGGGUUGUGCAAUCCACGCUUGGGCAUUGGGGCUUUGAGUCGUGUCCCACACAUCCUCUUUCGACUCUUUGCAUUUUUGCUUGGUUUUUCUCCCGUUAGUCCUUGAUCUUGCUUCCCACACUUGUAUGCACCUAAUUAAAGUCAUGAAAAUAAUGAAAUAAUUAUUUAUUACUAAACAAUAUAAAAUCAAAGAAAAAGUAAUAAAAAAAUGCUAAUGUAUGCAAAUGUAACAUUAAACAGGAAAUUGAAGCUAAGACAUGAUGUUUCAAUCGGUGAAAAGUAAAGCAAAUAGGGUCUAAAAUACAUGAAUUAUGAGUACUUAUCAAAUUGGAUUAUGUGUCAUUUUUAAAUAUGAAAAUAUUUGGUAAUGUGAUUAAUUUUAAGCCACGUGAAAACUAUGAAGCAAAAUGAAAAAAGGAAAAAUAAUUAAUCUACAGAUAUGAUAAAUCAACUUUGCUUAACAUUCAAUGAAUGAUGGUUAGAAACAGACAACGCAAAAAGUAAGAGCAUAAUAGAAUUGAAACAACUGAUCUUUGUUAAUAUAGUUUAGACACAAUGGUCCUAUAUCUGUGGAGCCUCGCCUAAUGAAUGGUUUUAUUCAGCAAUCGUCUAAAUCACCUAUUGGCUUAAGCAUUAUCUACCCUUACACAAAGAAGUAAUUGCAUCCCCAAUAUCGACCCCAAUUGUAACAAAUCACUCACCCUGAAUACCUUAAAUACAAUCAAUAAAAUCUUCAAAGAAUACCUAAAAGAGUGCCAUAGAAUAAUCACAAGAAAACACUACAAAGCUAUCAGUAAAGACACUCCUAAACUUGCUCUUCAUGUGCGACACAAAAUAGCCUAUUUACAGGCCUCUUCAAGUGGUCAAUCAAUAGUGUUUUGAUAAGAUUUAAACUCUUAUUCAAAAGCUGAAAUUGUCUCAAUAAUUAUCCUGAGUAUCUAUCAUAUAGAAGUCUUCCAUAAAUCAAUCUUCCAAUUGUAACACUCCCAUUCCAUCACUGGGUCACGAAAUCGAAAUGUUACAUUAGUUGUCGAAGCAAAAACAAUCAAAUUCGAUUAAUUUAAAACAUUCAUUUUGUAACUUCCCCAACCUGACCCAGACAUUAUGACUGGACUCUGAAGCCUACAUUGGCCACCGAAAUGACCAAGUAAAAUCGUUCAGUUGAAAACCUUUAUUUUUACCAAGUUCAAAAAAAAACUUAUCGUUUUUGCCUUGGUUUUGCUAAAAAUGUUAGGUUAUUAGGUCGACUAUACUUAAAGUCCUUUUUUUAUAACUUGUGAUAUUUGAGAAAAACGUAGUUGAUUUGUAACAUCAAUUUGCCUUUUCAAAACUUGUUUCUUUAUUACGCAACGGAAUAUUGGUAAAAUCAUCAAUUUUACUCUAAGUAGAGUUUCAUCUGAUUUAAACCAUUUAUUAAAUACGUUUGGUUUUUAAUCAAAAUCUCAUGCAUGCAAAACCUAAAUAAAAAAAAGAAAAAAAAUAAACCCACGCCACAGUUCAAAUUUAACUUAUUAUAGUUACAAAUAAAAAAUAUUUUUAAACGGAAAGUACUUUAUUUACAAAAAAUACGAUGUUUGAGUUAAGUGCUCCGUAUGCCAUGUUUAAACUUUGGGGUUAAGGAUUACUUGUAAGGAUUAAAAUAUGGGGUGAGCUUGAAAAAGCUCAGUGUGAGUCUAACAUAACAAGCAAUAUUUUUGCAUUCAUUCAAACAAUCACAGUAGGGCACACAACCAACAAUAUCAAUGUCCAUAGUAGAUCAUGGUAGUUCAUUAAACAGUGUAUAUGAAUGGGCAUGUCUAAAUGUAAAACAGUGUAAAGGUCUUACCCAUCCAUUCGCUACACACCACGAGUUCCCUUGAACCCAUCAUCCGAACACUAGAAAUAGUAAGAGUCGAAGCUCGUUGUGGAUAAACCACCAGUAACAGUAUAUAGUUGAAUUGUCAAUAUAUUACAGAUAAGCUGCCAGUAAAUUGUUAAUAAACUGUCGGUACUCCAUGGAACUCCAUAAUGCAGAUAUAUUGUCAAAACAAUAAUGUGGAUGAACCACUGGUACUCCACAGAACACCUCCAUCACCCAUCAAACCCAAAACCCAUGCAAUGCAAUAUGUCAUGUAAAAAGUUGAGCUAUCAUGCUAUAAUAGUAUCAGUUUCAAUACAGCGGCAUACUUAGCAUGUAUUCAAUAAAACAGUAUCAGUGACAUCUUGUGCACGCAUUUAGUGAGAACAGUAACAUUUAGUGGCAUGCAUACAUACAGUCAAUAUGCAAUAAGCCAAUGACAUGCUAUACAUGUAUUUAAUACACAAUAUGAUAGACAAGCUUACAUGUAGUCAGUAAUCAGCAACGAUUAUCAUGUUUAGUAGUACAAGUCACAAACUGGCAUGCAUUUAGCCAACCGAUAAAAUAGAUCACACAAUCAUUUACCUCUCUUGUAGGCCCUAUAACAUUCGACCAUUUACCAGUGGAUCACUUAGUGCUUUCGGCCAUCUCACAACAACUUACCAUAACCAACCACUUCAUGGAUGGCACAAUGCCAUUCGGCCAUGCAUCAAAUUCACACACCACAUUCAACCAACAUUUAAGCAAUCAUACAACCAUCAAUAAUCACCAAAACACAAAUAAUUUAGGAACCACACCUUAAUUACACAAAUACACAGCACUAAUGCAAAUCCGCAACUUUCACGUUUUAGAUUUGGACAAAUCUAGGGGUGGGUUUGGAUGGGCGAUUGGAUGCGGUGUGGUGCGUUUAGCCUACUUUUUGUCUCAUGCUACAGUGUUGUUACAGUAUCUAAUCUCACUGUCACCGCAGUUUUUACACUAACCGCAGGUAAACACACCGCUCAUCAAAACUCACCCUAGAUUUGAUAUGUACAUAACAUAAAAAAUACAAUUAAACCAGUAUUUGACACCCCCUAAAGGGUUCAGCCAAAACAAGGUUUAACAAUGGCCACUUAGAUCCGAUUCUUGAGACCAGUACUUACUCUAUUUUGGUUAAACAAGAGAUGCAGAACACCCUAUGAUGUUAUAGAUGAUCUGAGACGUUUGAAUUUGGUCCUUCAAUAAAACAAUAGCACACAAAAUUAGUAUGUAAUAUUCGACCAAAGCAAAGUGAAAGGAAACAAACAACUAGCCUAGAUCUAAUUAAGAUCCGCACUUACACUUCACCCAAUUAAUAGAUCUGUGAUGUAUGUUGAUCAUAGAAUCGGAAAACCACCAGCAAUGGCCAAGGGGGGUUUGACCAAAGGGAGUGCAAAAAUUAGCAGUGAAUAUAAUGAAAUAAGAUGAGAAAAUAGGGCUUAAAGAAGUGGCAACGCAAGAAAAAUGGCAGCAAUGGGGCAUCAAAGAAUAGUAGUAAAAAUAAUGAACAAAGGGUGAAAGAGCGGAGGGAAACAAUGCAAAAUGACGCCACUAAUGGAGGAGGAGAGGGGGAACAACAAUGGUGAAAAAAAUAGGUUAAUGAGGUGGCACAAGGAGGAAGAAAAGAUAAAAAAAUUUGAGAAAAUAGAGAGAGUGGAACGAAAAGGGAGAAAACAAAUAAGUAAAGGCUGACAAAAAAGGAGAAAAAUAAC